AGCAGCCGCGGUAAUUCCAGCUCCAAUAGCGUAUAUUAAAGUUGUUGCAGUUAAAAAGCUCGUAGUUGAAUUUCAGGCCUGGCUGGACGGUCCGCCUUUUGGGUGAGUACUGUCUGUGGUCGGGUCCUACCUUCUGGCGAAGCGUCAUGGCCUUAACCGGCCGUGGCGGGGAACCAGGACUUUUACUGUGAAAAAAUUAGAGUGUUCAAAGCAGGCAGUCGCUUGGAUACAUUAGCAUGGAAUAAUGGAAUAGGACAAUGGUUCUAUUUGUUGGUUUCUAGGACCGUUGUAAUGAUUAAUAGGGAUAGUUGGGGGCAUUAGUAUUCAAUUGUCAGAGGUGAAAUUCUUGGAUUUAUUGAAGACUAACUACUGCGAAAGCAUUUGCCAAGGAUGUUUUCAUUAAUCAAGAACGAAAGUUAGGGGAUCGAAGACGAUCAGAUACCGUCGUAGUCUUAACCAUAAACUAUGCCGACUAGGAAUCGGGCGAUGUUGACAAAAUGACGCGCUCGGCA
rnacentral:rRNA from 1 species